rnacentral:rRNA from 1 species
AAAGCAUUGGCGGGUGCUUACACAUGCAAGUCGAACGGUGAAGCCAAGCUUGCUUGGUGGAUCAGUGGCGAACGGGUGAGUAACACGUGAGCAACCUGCCCUGAACUCUGGGAUAAGCGCUGGAAACGGCGUCUAAUACUGGAUAUGAGCUGCGGAGGCAUCUUCGUGGUUGGAAAGAUUUUUCGGUUUGGGAUGGGCUCGCGGCCUAUCAGCUUGUUGGUGAGGUAAUGGCUCACCAAGGCGUCGACGGGUAGCCGGCCUGAGAGGGUGACCGGCCACACUGGGACUGAGACACGGCCCAGACUCCUACGGGAGGCAGCAGUGGGGAAUAUUGCACAAUGGGCGGAAGCCUGAUGCAGCAACGCCGCGUGAGGGAUGACGGCCUUCGGGUUGUAAACCUCUUUUAGCAGGGAAGAAGCGAAAGUGACGGUACCUGCAGAAAAAGCGCCGGCUAACUACGUGCCAGCAGCCGCGGUAAUACGUAGGGCGCAAGCGUUAUCCGGAAUUAUUGGGCGUAAAGAGCUCGUAGGCGGUUUGUCGCGUCUGCUGUGAAAUCUGGGGGCUCAACCCCCAGCCUGCAGUGGGUACGGGCAGACUAGAGUGCGGUAGGGGAGAUUGGAAUUCCUGGUGUAGCGGUGGAAUGCGCAGAUAUCAGGAGGAACACCGAUGGCGAAGGCAGAUCUCUGGGCCGUAACUGACGCUGAGGAGCGAAAGGGUGGGGAGCAAACAGGCUUAGAUACCCUGGUAGUCCACCCCGUAAACGUUGGGAACUAGUUGUGGGGUCCAUUCCACGGAUUCCGUGACGCAGCUAACGCAUUAAGUUCCCCGCCUGGGGAGUACGGCCGCAAGGCUAAAACUCAAAGGAAUUGACGGGGACCCGCACAAGCGGCGGAGCAUGCGGAUUAAUUCGAUGCAACGCGAAGAACCUUACCAAGGCUUGACAUACACGAGAACGCUGCAGAAAUGUAGAACUCUUUGGACACUCGUGAACAGGUGGUGCAUGGUUGUCGUCAGCUCGUGUCGUGAGAUGUUGGGUUAAGUCCCGCAACGAGCGCAACCCUCGUUCUAUGUUGCCAGCACGUAAUGGUGGGAACUCAUGGGAUACUGCCGGGGUCAACUCGGAGGAAGGUGGGGAUGACGUCAAAUCAUCAUGCCCCUUAUGUCUUGGGCUUCACGCAUGCUACAAUGGCCGGUACAAAGGGCUGCAAUACCGCGAGGUGGAGCGAAUCCCAAAAAGCCGGUCCCAGUUCGGAUUGAGGUCUGCAACUCGACCUCAUGAAGUCGGAGUCGCUAGUAAUCGCAGAUCAGCAACGCUGCGGUGAAUACGUUCCCGGGUCUUGUACACACCGCCCGUCAAGUCAUGAAAGUCGGUAACACCUGAAGCCGGUGGCCCAACCCUUGUGGAGGAGCCGUCGAAGGUGGAAUCCGUUUA